rnacentral:pre_miRNA from 2 species
GUUUUCAACUGAAAAAGUCAUCAACAAUAAAGUUGUAUAACUCAUCAAGAUAUAUAACUUUUAUUUUGAUCAUUUCUUCAUCCCACAAAGUUAUUUGUAAGAUUGUUCACAGAAUAAACAUAUCUUAUAUAGUUUUUAUAAAACUAUAUAAGAGAUGUACAUUUUGUAAAAAAAAUCUUACAAAUCACUUUGUCGGAUGAAGAAAUGACCAAAAUAGAAGUUAUAGAUCUUGAUGAGUUAUACAACUUUGUUAUUGAUGACUUUUUCAGAUGAAAUC